rnacentral:misc_RNA from 1 species
GAUGAAGAACGUAGCAAAAUGCGAUAAGUAAUGCGAAUUGCAGAAUUCCAGUGAGUCAUCGAAUCUUUGAACGCACAUUGCGCCCUUUGGUAUUCCGAAGGGCAUGCCUGUUCGAGCGUCAUUAUCACCCCUCAAGCCCUCGGCUUGGUGUUGGACGGUUUGGUGGAGGCCCCCUCGGGGGCUCCUGCCCCUCCCAAAGACAAUGACGGCGGCCUCGUUGGACCCCCGGUACACUGAGUUCUUCACGGGACACGUAUCGGACACAUGGGUUUACGGGACACGGUCUGCCUCCCCUCAGGGAGAAUCUUUCUAAGGUUGACCUCGGAUCAGGUAGGGAUACCCGCUGAACUUAAGCAUAUCAAUAAGCGGAGGA